AUUGAACGCUGGCGGCAGGCCUAACACAUGCAAGUCAAGCGGAUGAAGGGAGCUUGCUCCUGGAUUCAGCGGCGGACGGGUGAGUAAUGCCUAGGAAUCUGCCUGGUAGUGGGGGAUAACGUCCGGAAACGGGCGCUAAUACCGCAUACGUCCUGAGGGAGAAAGUGGGGGAUCUUCGGACCUCACGCUAUCAGAUGAGCCUAGGUCGGAUUAGCUAGUUGGUGGGGUAAAGGCCUACCAAGGCGACGAUCCGUAACUGGUCUGAGAGGAUGAUCAGCCACACUGGAACUGAGACACGGUCCAGACUCCUACGGGAGGCAGCAGUGGGGAAUAUUGGACAAUGGGCGAAAGCCUGAUCCAGCCAUGCCGCGUGUGUGAAGAAGGUCUUCGGAUUGUAAAGCACUUUAAGUUGGGAGGAAGGGCAGUAAGUUAAUACCUUGCUGUUUUGACGUUACCAACAGAAUAAGCACCGGCUAACUUCGUG
rnacentral:rRNA from 1 species